rnacentral:misc_RNA from 1 species
AAAAUACUCUGGAUCAAGGUAACCCUGCAAAGUCAAAAUAAUGUUUGAGACAUCAGGAUAUCCCUACUUACAACAGAUCAAAAAGCUUUAGUAUAUUUAUCAGUUGACAUACUCUUCUUAAACUUGGUUAUUCUUUUCAAAAUCAAUUAAUAAGUGGUGAUUAAAAAACCAUGAUUCAGAACGUCCCGACCUACAAAUAUACAACAAAUUUAAAUAGUUUUCUCCUUAAUGGAUUUUGGAGUAUGACUUAAUGAGUCAAUUUGCUAAAACACAAUGUUUGUCAUCACAUUGAACAAAUAAAUUCAAAUGUUUUUUGUUUUAUCCAUUUGCAGGUUAAUGAACUGUGAUGCAAUUCAUUACUUGUAUCCAAAAUGUCGAGAUGCGGAUAUGCUACAAACUGAGUGCUAAUGAUAAAACAAAAGGAACAAAGAAGGCCAAGAUCAACUCCCUGAAGAAGGGAAACUUGGAAUUUAGUAGUCCUUCUAGAGAAUAUAGAUAUAGUAAACUUACUGGAGUACCCUUCACUACUGUGG